UACGUAGGGGUGCAAGCGUUGUCCGGAAUUAUUGGGCGUAAAGCGCGCGCAGGCGGUCCUUUAAGUCUGAUGUGAAAGCCCACGGCUCAACCGUGGAGGGUCAUUGGAAACUGGGGGGACUUGAGUGCAGGAGAGAAGAGUGGAAUUCCACGUGUAGCGGUGAAAUGCGUAGAGAUGUGGAGGAACACCAGUGGCGAAGGCGACUCUUUGGCCUGUAACGUGACGCUGAGGCGCGAAAGCGUGGGGAGC
rnacentral:rRNA from 1 species